AUUGAACGCUGGCGGCAUGCCUUACACAUGCAAGUCGAACGGCAGCACGGGAGCAAUCCUGGUGGCGAGCGGCGAACGGGUGAGUAAAGUAUCGGAACGUGCCCAGUCGUGGGGGAUAACGUAGCGAAAGUUACGCUAAUACCGCAUACGAUCUAUGGAUGAAAGCGGGGGAUCGCAAGACCUCGCGCGAUUGGAGCGGCCGAUAUCAGAUUAGGUAGUUGGUGGGGUAAAGGCUCACCAAGCCGACGAUCUGUAGCUGGUCUGAGAGGACGACCAGCCACACUGGGACUGGGACACGGCCCAGACUCCUACGGGAGGCAGCAGUGGGGAAUUUUGGACAAUGGGCGAAAGCCUGAUCCAGCCAUGCCGCGUGCAGGAUGAAGGCCUUCGGGUUGUAAACUGCUUUUGUACGGAACGAAAAGGUUUGGGCUAAUAAGCUGAGCUCAUGACGGUACCGUAAGAAUAAGCACCGGCUAACUACGUGCCAGCAGCCGCAGUAA
rnacentral:rRNA from 1 species